CCUACGGGAGGCAGCAGUGAGGAAUAUUGGUCAAUGGGCGCUAGCCUGAUGCAGCAAAGCCGCGUGAGCGAUGAAGGCCCUCGGGUCGUAAAGCUCUGUCCUCCAGGAAGAUAAUGACGGUCCUUGAGGCGGAAGCACCGGCUAACUACGUGCCAGCAGCCGCGGUAAUACGUAGGGGGCUAGCGUUAUCCGGAAUUACUGGGCGUAAAGGGUGCGUAGGUGGUUUCUUAAGUCAGAGGUGAAAGGCUACGGCUCAACCGUAGUAAGCCUUUGAAACUGGGGAACUUCAGUGCAGGAGAGGAGAGUGGAAUGCCUAGUGUAGCGGUGAAAUGCGUAGAUAUUAGGAGGAACACCAGUUGCGAAGGCGGCACUCUGGACUGUAACUGACACUGAGGCACGAAAGCGUGGGUAGCGAACAGGAUUAGAUACCCCAGUAGUC
rnacentral:rRNA from 1 species